CCUUGUACACACCGCCCGUCACACCAUGGGAGUUGGUUCUACCCGAAGGCGAUGCGCUAACCGCAAGGGAGGGAGCCGCCGAAGGUGGGAUUGGUGACUGGGGUG
rnacentral:rRNA from 1 species